rnacentral:rRNA from 1 species
UACGGAGGGUGCGAGCGUUAAUCGGAAUUACUGGGCGUAAAGCGCGCGUAGGCGGUUUGUUAAGUCAGCUGUGAAAGCCCCGGGCUCAACCUGGGAACUGCAGUUGAUACUGACCGACUAGAGUACGAGAGAGGGAGGUAGAAUUCCAUGUGUAGCGGUGAAAUGCGUAGAUAUAUGGAGGAAUACCGGUGGCGAAGGCGGCCUCCUGGCUCGAUACUGACGCUGAGGUGCGAAAGCGUGGGGAUCAAACAGGG